UGCAUGCCCUAGAACAGUUCUUCGUGUUCAUCUCAUCGUUAAUCUGUAGAUAAUUAAAUUUGAAUCUUUGAUGUCAGUGCCAGCUGCAGGAGCCCAACAGGACACUCCUAGCUUUGUGAUUUGUUUCGGAACUGACAUCUAGGUCACCGUACCUUUGCAGGCGCUCACACUAUCGGACAGGCGAGGUGCACGACCUUCCGGGACCACAUCACCGAGCCCAACAUCAACCCCACCUUCGCGGCGUCGCUCAGGGCCAACUGCCCCGCGACAGGCGGCGACGACAACCUGGCGCCGCUGGACGUCACGACGCCCAACAGUUUCGACAACGCCUACUUCAGCAACCUGAUGUCGCAAAGGGGUCUCCUGCACUCGGACCAGGAGCUCUUCAACAACGGCAGCACCGACAACAUCGUCAGGAACUUCGCGUCCAACGCAGCGGCGUUCAGCAGCGCCUUCGCCACGGCCAUGGUGAAGAUGGGCAACCUUCAGCCGCUGACCGGGACCAAUGGGCAGAUCAGGCGCCUCUGCUGGAGGGUCAACUCGUAAGACUACUACAGAGUCACAGACGAUGAGGGUCGUUGGCAGCGCCAGGCGUAUGCCAAUGUGCUAGCCGCAUAAACGAAUAAGGUCGUGCACGCACAACCAACAAGGAUACAUAUACAUGUGUCAAUGUGGGUCAAGUGGUGUGCACCAUGCAGCUCGCUUUCUUGUUCCACAAGGUGUAUGGAACGGAGAGAGCGCAUGCUUGGCGUGUACCUACAUAUGUAAUGAGUUCUCAUGCAAAGGCAUUGGGAGAUUAAUUAAGCGAUAUUUUUCUAGAAAUCCUUUUUUUUCAAAAGUUUCUACAUUUUGAAAAAAAAAUGCUUUUAAAACAAAAUGUUUUUUAUAAAAGUGUUUUUUCAAACGGUUAAGGAUUAUUGUUGGUCUUCACAAUUUUUAUUAAGUGGCAAAGAGUUUUCUAGUUCAAUUUGGACAUUUCUUGAGAGGAAAAAAAUUAGCAAACCAAUAAACCCUAGCCCAACAUUUCAAAAAAAAGUAAUCAACCACUUCAUAAAUAACUCCUGACAAUUACUUCAAUUAAGUUAAAAAAGUGUUGGCUAUUUGAGAAAAUUAUAAAAAAGAUCAAUAACCUCCGGCCAUUCACACAUACACUCUGGGAAUCAUGAAAAAUCUUAUAGUGUUUGGGCAAAUGGUCCAUGUUGUCAAUCCAUAUCCUAUAUUAAAAUAUGAAGUUAUUCAAUAAGGAAAAAAUGCUAUCAGUUUGGCUCGGGCCAGCUGCCAGCUGGAGCUGACAAGAAAGUUCAAAAAUAUAUAAUUCGUUAAACAUCAGCUAAUCUUGUCAGGGCUUUCACAAGUGGGAAAUGACUGCACAACGGUCAGAGCAAGGUGGAAUAAUUGUCUUCGACGAAUGCUGACAUCUUUGUUAACAACGACACCAGCGUCAACUUUGUCGGGCCCGCCUUCCUUCUAAUCCAGGCAAUGGAGAGAAGUCCAACCCCUAACCCCAACUCCGAACCCUAACCCACCAACCCUGAACCCUAACCUCACACAAGACCUCGCCGGACGUGGAGAAGAAGCUCAUACGGCCUUUGCAUUAGUGAGAGGACGAAGAAGGAAAAAUCAGAUGUGAUAAAGAAAGGAAACACUCGAAGUUUAAUGUUUAAUGUAGUUCGCAUUUCGAAGCACUCGGAGAAAACAUAUUAUUUUGAUUCCUGAAGUUGGUUGUUAUUAAAAGGGAGAAUGCUAUAUCCCUGCUAGCCCAUGUGUUCUAAGAUCUGACGCCCAGUCCGUAAACUAGCAGCCAGCAUAUUUCCAAACACACACUUCCAUAAUAAUCUGAACAACUAAUUAUCAAGGGUAACUUAGUAGGUUCAUGACCGAGAACCAUAUAUGGCCAUCUGGUACAAAACUGGCGCGUGAGGUCCAUGUGCAUUAGCACCUUUAUAAGGAAAGCAUUCCCUAAACCCACCUACGAGUUCGCAUACUAUUCACUGGGCCAUCUACAUGAUUGGCUGCACCACUGCAGAGAGUGUGUGCUGGGCUGCUGGCCAUAGCAAUUGUUUCGAAUUGGCCAGAGGGUUGCUGGUUUGCAUUGGAUGCUUGCAUACAAAAUUGCAUUCAUGAAUUCAGCCUAACCUGCCUUGUAUUCUAAUGUAUCACAUGUAUGCCGGAUCGAGUGGCUAGCUGUACCUGCACUGCAUGACGAAAAUGGUUGCUGGCAUUCAGCGGCUAAACCUGGACUAGUGUGGCAUCCGAUUUGGAUGUUUCUGAGUGACCUCUGAUCCCUAAUGAUAUGCAGGCAUCAGUGGGCCUAUAAAUAUGCAUGGAGUGCACCAUUCCCUUUGCAGAGACCACAGCAGCCAACGAGCAAUAUAGUAGCAGCUGGCAAGCUACCGAGCAAGCAUAGCCGCCAUGGCCUCUGCUUCUUUCCUUGGGUUGUUGGUGCUCGUGGCGCUGGCCUCUGGGGCGUCGGCGCAGCUGUCGCCGACGUUCUACGACACGUCGUGCCCCAACGCGCUGUCCACCAUCAGGACCGCCGUGAACGCCGCGGUGGCGCAGGAGGCUCGCAUGGGGGCGUCCCUGCUCAGGCUGCACUUCCACGAUUGCUUUGUCCAAGCAAGUCUCACACGCAUAACCCUUGAUCUUUUCCUUGUCUGUUCUUUAAUUUGACAGUCGAUCAUCCAAAUUUGAGCAGGGCUGCGACGCUUCCGUUCUGCUGAAUGACACGAACGGCGAGCAGAGCGCGGGUCCGAACGUGGGAUCGCUGAGAGGCUUCGGCGUCAUCGACAACAUCAAGGCACAGGUGGAGGCUUUGUGCCCGCAGACCGUCUCCUGCGCCGACAUCCUCACCGUCGCCGCCCGCGACUCCGUCGUAGCGGUGAGAUCAUUAGCACGCGAUGUCUUUCUGUGUGUUGAUUGUUACCCUGAUGCUUCUACUCUGUUGCUGUUGGCUUGUAACUAACUUGUAUGCAGCUCGGCGGGCCUUCGUGGACUGUUCUACUGGGAAGAAGGGACUCUACCAGUUCAUUCCCGAACCAGGCAAAUACCGACCUCCCAGCUCCUCAAUCUAGCCUCCGAAAUCUUAUAGAUGCGUUUGGGAAUAAGACCCUCUCCGCAACAGACAUGGUUGCUCUCUCAGGUGCAUGCCCCUAGCUAGAACAGUUCGUGUUAAUUCUUCUCAUCGAUCAGUAGAUACAUUUGAAUCUUUGAUAUGGCAGUGGCAGACACGAGCCCAGGACUCCAAGGUUUCCAUUUGUUUCAAAACUGACGAUGCAGGCGAACCUUUAAUUUGCAGGCGCUCACACUAUCGGACAGGCGCAGUGCACGAACUUCCGGGACCAUAUCACCGAGAGCAACAUCAACCCCGCCUUCGCCGCGUCGCUCAGGACCAGCUGCCCCGCGACAGGCGGCGACACCAACCUGGCGCCGCUGGACGUCACGACGCCCAACACCUUCGACAACGCCUACUACAACAACCUGCUGUCCCAAAGGGGGCUCCUGCACUCGGACCAGGAGCUAUUCAACAACGGCAGCACCGACAGCACGGUCAGGAACUUCGCGUCCAACGCUGCGGCGUUCAGCAGCGCCUUCACGACGGCCAUGGUGAAGAUGGCUAAC
rnacentral:lncRNA from 1 species